rnacentral:rRNA from 1 species
AGCGAACGCUGGCGGCAGGCUUAACACAUGCAAGUCGAACGGGCACUUCGGUGCUAGUGGCAGACGGGUGAGUAACGCGUGGGAACGUACCUUUCGGUUCGGAAUAAUUCAGGGAAACUUGGACUAAUACCGGAUACGCCCUCGGGGGAAAGAUUUAUCGCCGAUAGAUCGGCCCGCGUCUGAUUAGCUAGUUGGUGAGGUAAUGGCUCACCAAGGCGACGAUCAGUAGCUGGUCUGAGAGGAUGAUCAGCCACAUUGGGACUGAGACACGGCCCAAACUCCUACGGGAGGCAGCAGUGGGGAAUAUUGGACAAUGGGCGCAAGCCUGAUCCAGCCAUGCCGCGUGAGUGAUGAAGGCCUUAGGGUUGUAAAGCUCUUUUGUCCGGGAAGAUAAUGACUGUACCGGAAGAAUAAGCCCCGGCUAACUUCGUGCCAGCAGCCGCCGUAACAC